AACGAACGCUGGCGGCAGGCUUAACACAUGCAAGUCGAACGCCCCGCAAGGGGAGUGGCAGACGGGUGAGUAACGCGUGGGAACGUACCUUUCAGUUCGGAAUAAUUCAGGGAAACUUGCGCUAAUGCCGGAUACGCCCGAGAGGGGAAAGAUUUAUCGGUAAAGGAUCGGCCCGCGUUGGAUUAGCUAGUUGGUGGGGUAAAGGCCUACCAAGGCGACGAUCCAUAGCUGGUCUGAGAGGAUGAUCAGCCACAUUGGGACUGAGACACGGCCCAAACUCCUACGGGAGGCAGCAGUGGGGAAUAUUGGACAAUGGGCGCAAGCCUGAUCCAGCCAUGCCGCGUGAGUGAUGAAGGCCUUAGGGUUGUAAAGCUCUUUCACCGAUGAAGAUAAUGACGGUAGUCGGAGAAGAAGCCCCGGCUAACUUCGUGCCAGCCGCCGCGGUAA
rnacentral:rRNA from 1 species